CGAGAACAACGGCGGGACCUGCGUGGCGAUCGCCGGCCUUGACUACUGCGUGGUGGCCGCCGACACGAGGCUGUCCGUCGGAUACAGCAUAUACACCAGGGACUAUUCCAAGAUCUGCCAGCUUGCUGACAAAUCAGUGCUGGCAUCCUCUGGGUUCCAGGGUGAUAUAAAAGCUUUGCAGAAAAACUUGGCGGCUAAGCACCUGAUCUAUCAGCAUCAACAUAACAAACAGAUGAGCUGCCCCGCCAUGGGCCAGCUUCUCUCAAAUACCCUUUACUACAAGCGUUUCUUCCCGUACUACGCUUUCAAUGUGCUAGGCGGCCUUGACAGUGAAGGGAAAGGAUGUGUGUUCACAUAUGAUGCUGUCGGUUCUUAUGAAAGGGUUGGGUACAGUGCCCAAGGUUCAGGCUCGACGCUCAUCAUGCCCGUCCUGGAUAACCAACUGAAAUCUCCGAGUCCUCUGUUGUUGCCUACUAGAGAUGCCGUGACUCCGCUUUCUGAAUCAGAAGCUGUGGAUAUGGUGAAAGAUGUCUUCGCAUCGGCCACUGAAAGAGAUAUAUACACUGGAGAUAAAUUAGAAGUUGUUAUCAUCAAUGCAUCUGGCAUUAGGCGUGAAUUCAUUGAGCUAAGGAAGGACUAGAUCUAGUUUUGGAGAUUAGAUGGGUUUGGGGCUUCCAGCUGUUCACUUUCUAUGUUUCAUGGUUACACCAGCCUAUAGACAAUUUGAUUAAAGUUAUUCAUAUACUUGUUAAAGACUCAUCAACUCCCUUUGUGGCUUG
rnacentral:misc_RNA from 1 species